UGGGGAAUAUUGCACAAUGGGCGCAAGCCUGAUGCAGCCAUGCCGCGUGUAUGAAGAAGGCCUUCGGGUUGUAAAGUACUUUCAGCGGGGAGGAAGGGAGUAAAGUUAAUACCUUUGCUCAUUGACGUUACCCGCAGAAGAAGCACCGGCUAACUCCGUGCCAGCAGCCGCGGUAAUACGGAGGGUGCAAGCGUUAAUCGGAAUUACUGGGCGUAAAGCGCACGCAGGCGGUUUGUUAAGUCAGAUGUGAAAUCCCCGGGCUCAAACUGGGAACUGCAUCUGAUACUGGCAAGCUUGGGUCUCGUAGAGGGGGGUAGAAUUCCAGGUGUAGCAGUGAAAUGCGUAGAGAUCUGGAGGAAUACCGGUGGCGAAGGCGGCCCCCUGGACGAAGACUGACGCUCAGGUGCGAAAGCGUGGGGAGCAAACAGG
rnacentral:rRNA from 1 species